rnacentral:misc_RNA from 1 species
AUCGAAUUCUUGUUGAUCGUUGGGUAAAGAGCAAUAUUUUCCUUCAUUGUUUAGCUCAUUCAUUAAAUCCAAGGCAAGUUUUUUUAAAUUACAUACUCAUCUUCUUGCUAUAAAUUUUUUUCAUUUUUUUAUUUUCUAAAUUUAUUUUCUUGUUUAUGCAGAUUUUACAAUGAAAAAUUGCUUUAAAAAGGAGAGGUAGAGCGACUCCUCAUAUGGAUGGAGAAAUAUAAACUAAAAGAAUUAAGUGUUCUAGGAUUAUUUUUUCUAAUAAAAAUGAGCAAAUUAGAGCAAAUGAUGAAUUUAUAAAUUUUUCUUUGAAAAGCAGGUCUUUUGCAGAUCCUGAUUAUAUUGGAAGUAUGUACGCUACAGAUCUUAGGAAGUGGUGAGCAUGUUUUGGUUUCAAUGCAUCUUUACUUCAAAUGUUGACUUUUAAAGUGUUUGGACAACUUCUUCUCAUAUUGUGAAAGAAAUUAGAGUACUUAUUCCUUCAUUCAUUAAUGUAGAAGGAAUAAAAUAACUCCAAAAUUUGCAAAGGACUUGGGCUUUAUCCAUAAUAAUCUUCAUCAUCUAUCAAGAAACUCCUCCCAAUAUUAUGAU